AUUGAACGCUGGCGGCAGGCCUAACACAUGCAAGUCGAGCGAGCGGCGGACGGUUAAGUAAUGUCUGGGAAACUGCCUGAUGGAGGGGGAUAACUACUGGAAACGGUAGCUAAUACCGCAUCCCAUCAGAUGUGCCCAGAUGGGAUUAGCUAGUAGGUGGGGUAACGGCUCACCAAGGCGACGAUCCCUAGCUGGUCUGAGAGGAUGACCAGUCACACUGGAACUGAGACACGGUCCAGACUCCUACGGGAGGCAGCAGUGGGGAAUAUUGGACAAUGGGCGCAAGCCUGAUGCAGCCAUGCCGCGUGUGUGAAGAAGGCCUUCGGGUUGUAAAGCACUUUCAGCGGGGAGGCGUUACCAGCAGAAGAAGCACCGGCUAACUCCGUGCCAGCAGCCGCGGUAAUAC
rnacentral:rRNA from 1 species